AACCUGCCAGAGCUUGGCUAAAGGUCCCCAUGGUUUCGAUGGGGGAAAAAAAGCCAAAAUAUUGGUCAUCUAAACCUUAGGAAAAGUAACAACUAACGUGAUUACAUUCAUUUUCGGGUACGACUAAUGACCUGUGUUUUGGUCCGACGAGAAAAUGCCAAAGAGAACGUUAUGAUUGGUGAAGUUUAGAGGUGGUGGCCAUUGAUGAUCUCCUCACGGUUUUCAACACGGAAAGAAAGACCGUUGCUGGGAUCAUUGUCAUGAGACGGCUGGGUAUAAAACGUAAUAGCUGGAACAACAAGCGACCUUUGCUCGUGGCAUUUGAUUGACAACAAAAAGGGAUCUCGUCAAUGCCUGAAAAACGAAGUGAAGGAAGAGAUAACUUCCAGAACGGAUCGACAAAAAUCAUGAUUUGGGGCGAACGAUCUGACCUUAUUCCAAAGACAUUCUUAUGCAGAGAAAUCCAGGGAAAAAAACCACGGAUGACGAGAUGGGCUAACAAUGGUGUAAAACAAUGAUGGACAGUUUGCUCGAGCAUGCGUGCCUUGGGCACGGCACUACUGUAUAAUUUGAAUUCUCAUUAUCACUUUAUCAUUCAUUUUAUCAUCAUUUUCAUCAUUAUUUUCAUUUAUCAUUAUCAUUAUCUAAUAUAUCAUGAAUACCUAUUGUCA